rnacentral:rRNA from 1 species
AGCAUAUCAAUAAGCGGAGGAAAAGAAACCAACAGGGAUUGCCCUAGUAACGGCGAGUGAAGCGGCAACAGCUCAAAUUUGAAAUCUGGCGUAAGCCCGAGUUGUAAUUUGUAGAGGAUGCUUCUGGGUAGCGGCCGGUCUAAGUUCCUUGGAACAGGACGUCAUAGAGGGUGAGAAUCCCGUAUGUGACUGGCUUGCACCCUCCACGUAGCUCCUUCGACGAGUCGAGUUGUUUGGGAAUGCAGCUCUAAAUGGGAGGUAAAUUUCUUCUAAAGCUAAAUACCGGCCAGAGACCGAUAGCGCACAAGUAGAGUGAUCGAAAGAUGAAAAGCACUUUGGAAAGAGAGUUAAAAAGCACGUGAAAUUGUUGAAAGGGAAGCGCCCGCAACCAGACUUUGCGGCGGUGUUCGGCUGGUCUUCUGACCGGUUUACUCGCCGCCGUGAGGCCAUCAUCGUCUGGGACCGCUGGAUAAGACCUGAGGAAUGUAGCUCCCUUCGGGGUGUGUUAUAGCCUCUGGUGAUGCAGCGCGUCUCGGGCGAGGUCCGCGCUUCGGCAAGGAUGAUGGCGUAAUGGUUGUCGGCGGCCCGUCUUGAAACACGGACCAAGGAGUCUAACAUCUAUGCGAGUGUUCGGGUGUCAAACCCCUACGCGUAAUGAAAGUGAACGGAGGUGGGAACUUUUUGUGCACCAUCGACCGAUCCUGAUGUCCUCGGAUGGAUUUGAGUAAGAGCAUAGCUGUUGGGACCCGAAAGAUGGUGAACUAUGCCUGAAUAGGGUGAAGCCAGAGGAAACUCUGGUGGAGGCUCGCAGCGGUUCUGACGUGCAAAUCGAUCGUCAAAUUUGGGUAUAGGGGCGAAAGACUAAUCGAACCAUCUAGUAGCUGGUUCCUGCG